GCCUCGAUGGUGUAGUAGUAGUAGCGCGCUUCCCAGGUAGGGAUGAAACGCGGGUUCGAUUCUCGCCUGAGGCC